rnacentral:rRNA from 1 species
UCUGACGAGCGGCGGACGGGUGAGUAAUGCAUAGGAAUCUGCCCGAUAGUGGGGGAUAACCUGGGGAAACCCAGGCUAAUACCGCAUACGUCCUACGGGAGAAAGGGGGCUCCGGCUCCCGCUAUCGGAUGAGCCUAUGUCGGAUUAGCUGGUUGGUGAGGUAAAGGCUCACCAAGGCGACGAUCCGUAGCUGGUCUGAGAGGAUGAUCAGCCACAUCGGGACUGAGACACGGCCCGAACUCCUACGGGAGGCAGCAGUGGGGAAUAUUGGACAAUGGGGGGAACCCUGAUCCAGCCAUGCCGCGUGUGUGAAGAAGGCCCUCGGGUUGUAAAGCACUUUCAGUGAGGAAGAACGCCUGGUGGUUAAUACCCAUCAGGAAAGACAUCACUCACAGAAGAAGCACCGGCUAACUCCGUGCCAGCAGCCGCGGUAAUACGGAGGGUGCGAGCGUUAAUCGGAAUUACUGGGCGUAAAGCGCGCGUAGGUGGCUUGAUAAGCCGGUUGUGAAAGCCCCGGGCUCAACCUGGGAACGGCAUCCGGAACUGUCAAGCUAGAGUGCAGGAGAGGAAGGUAGAAUUCCCGGUGUAGCGGUGAAAUGCGUAGAGAUCGGGAGGAAUACCAGUGGCGAAGGCGGCCUUCUGGACUGACACUGACACUGAGGUGCGAAAGCGUGGGUAGCAAACAGGAUUAGAUACCCUGGUAGUCCACGCCGUAAACGAUGUCGACCAGCCGUUGGGUGCCUAGCGCACUUUGUGGCGAAGUUAACGCGAUAAGUCGACCGCCUGGGGAGUACGGCCGCAAGGUUAAAACUCAAAUGAAUUGACGGGGGCCCGCACAAGCGGUGGAGCAUGUGGUUUAAUUCGAUGCAACGCGAAGAACCUUACCUACUCUUGACAUCCUGCGAAUUUGGUAGAGAUACCUUAGUGCCUUCGGGAACGCAGAGACAGGUGCUGCAUGGCUGUCGUCAGCUCGUGUUGUGAAAUGUUGGGUUAAGUCCCGUAACGAGCGCAACCCUUGUCCUUAUUUGCCAGCGCGUAAUGGCGGGAACUCUAAGGAGACUGCCGGUGACAAACCGGAGGAAGGUGGGGACGACGUCAAGUCAUCAUGGCCCUUACGAGUAGGGCUACACACGUGCUACAAUGGUCGGUACAAAGGGUUGCCAACUCGCGAGAGUGAGCCAAUCCCGAAAAGCCGAUCUCAGUCCGG